GGAUGUGAGGGCGAUUGACUGUGACAUCUGUUACCUCACUGAGCUAACAGGGUUGAUCAACUGAUCUGGCUGGCUAGGUGGGUGUCCCUUCCUCCCUCACGAUCCCCUGAGUGUCCCUCCCAAAGCUUGGUUGAAGAGCACAACCUUCCCUGAAUAGUGAUGGUAUGUGAGGAUACACCAGUGGCUGUGCUCUCCUGCUUCUUCUUCUUCUAGUGUUUGCCCUUCUUCCGUAGCCAGUCAACAGCGUCAGGUUGAGCCUGAUGUAAAGUUUCGAGACCUCCUUUGAAUCUGGAGAGGUGGCAGUCGUUGACUAUGUGGGUCAUAGUCU
ensembl:misc_RNA 7SK 7SK RNA